rnacentral:rRNA from 1 species
GCCAGCAGUGAUUGCACGUUGAAUGCACUAGUUUCCGAUGAAUCAUUGAAGAUAAGCAACGUUGCGCGUGAGUGGUAUCCGGGUGGGUGACCGUGCUGGCUUUUACAGGCAAUUCGCA